rnacentral:rRNA from 1 species
CCUACGGGAGGCAGCAGUGAGGAAUAUUGGUCAAUGGACGAAAGUCUGAACCAGCCAAGUAGCGUGAAGGAUGACUGCCCUCUGGGUUGUAAACUUCUUUUAUAAGGGAAUAAAACGAGGCACGUAUGCCUUUUUGCAUGUCCUUUAUGAAUAAGGCUAGGCUAACUCCGUGCCAGCAGCCGCGGUAAUACGGAGGAUCCCAGCGUUAUCCGGAUUUAUUGGGUUUAAAGGGUGUGUAGAUGGGUUGUUAAGUCAGUUGUGAAAGUUUGCGGCUCAACCGUAGAAUUGCAAUUGAUACUGGCAUUCUUGAGUACAGUUGAGGUAGGCGGAAUUCGUGGUGUAGCGGUGAAAUGCUUAGAUAUCACGAAGAACCCCGAUUGCGAAGGCAGCUUACUAAACUGUGACUGACAUUGAUGCUCGAAAGUGUGGGUAUCAAACAGGAUUAGAUACCCUUGUAGUC